rnacentral:rRNA from 1 species
UUUUUGUGUGUGCAUUCGAUGCUCGUAUGUGCAAUUGUCAAUUCAUGGUGGGGACAGACCAUUGUUAAUUGUUGGUCUCGGUCUUAACUAGGAAUGCCUUGUACGGGUCUUUGGUUCAACAAACCACCCGGAAUACGUCCCUGCCCUUUGUACACACCGCCCGUCGCUCUUACCGAUGGACUUCUCUGUGAGUUUGAGGGACUGGAUUUUAUAUCUAUGGAAACUCAAACGAACAGUGUGUCUA